rnacentral:rRNA from 1 species
AAUCAACGCUGGCGGCGUGCCUCAGACAUGCAAGUCGAACGAUUAAAGCUCUCUUCGGAGAGUGUAUAGAGUGGCGCACGGGGUGAGUAACACGUAAGUAAUCUACCUUUGAGUGGGGAAUAACCCGGGGAAACCCGAGCUAAUACCGCAUAAUGCAGCGGCACCGCAAGGUGACAGUUGUUAAAGGAGCAAUCCGCUUAAAGAGGAGCUUGCGGCAGAUUAGCUAGNGGUAAGGUAAUGGCUUACCAAGGCUACGAUCUGUAUCCGGUCUAAGAGGACGGUCGGACACACUGACACUGAAUAACGGGUCAGACUCCUACAGGAGGCAGCAGUCGGGAAUUUUGGGCAAUGGGCGAAAGCCUGACCCAGCAACGCCGCGUGAAGGAUGAAGUAAUUUCGGUAUGUAAAACUUCGAAAGAAUAGGAAGAAUAAAUGACGGUACUAUUUAUAAGGUCCGCUAACUACGUGCCAGCAGCCGCCGUAAU